rnacentral:tRNA from 1 species
GAGCCUAGUGGACAUGGCAUCUGUCCGGUAAGCGGAUCACUAUGGGUUCGAUUCCCAUCCCU